GAGUCUCGCAAAAAGGAAGCAUCUAUGUUAUGAUUUGUUGUUACUUUUAACAGUUUUUGAAUUUGAGAGUGAUAAAGAAGAUAUCCCUGAUUCUCAAGAGAAAAUCUUACAGGUAAUUAACAAGUAAUGGCUGGAUCUGAAGCUCAUGGAGAUGCUCAGUUCAAAGGCUGGCAAAAGCACUUCAAUACAUAUACAAUUCGGGGAAGAUCUAAUAUUACUUAUGCCACUUACUCUGCACUUGCCGUCUUUGGCCUUUAUAUGUAUUUGAAACCUAAGAAGACAGUAGAAAAAAAAAGAAAUGAUGCAAUUUAAACAUUAAAAAAUUAAAUAAAAUUAUAUAUUAUAAAAAUACAUGAACUUAAUAAAUUAAAAGUAAAUAAAUACCUAUACUAUUUUUUUCCACAGUUCUAUUUCCAUGUCACCAAUGCUUACUUUCCUGCUAAAUCUAUAAAUUAAUAUUUCAUUGAAUCUUUUAUUAUGCUGUGUAUUAAUAACAGGGUAAUGUAGUGCUAAUUAAAUACUGAGGGUAGUGCCUUCAAGUGUAAUUUGUUGUACUAUAAUUAAAUGUCCCAUUUUUAACAUUAUGGCACAAUAUUGAACACUAUGUACUUUGUCCUUUAGUCAAAUACUCCUAUACAUUUGAUGAUCAUAUGUUGCAAGAAUGCAUUACUGUAUAUCAACUCAUGCCAAUAUUACUGGAUUUUAUACAAGAAUCUUAAAAUUUGUUCUAGAUAUUGUAUAAUUAAAAAAUUAAGUGUUUCAGUAUCUUUCAGACACUAUACAAAUAAAAUUUGUAAAUUUAUACAAACUAUAUACAUACAAAUGAAUUGAGAAGCUAUUACCGAAAAUAUCUUUUGUCUCUUUCUCUUCUAAAAUCUUGGUACUUUAUUGUAAAAGAGUUUUAUUUUGUCAAAAAAUUUAUUUUUUCAUCUUAUUAGAGCUGUUUAAUAAUUUUAAUUUUUUGCAAAACUAAAUUUAUCCACAUCUUAAAAAAAGAUCAAUAAUCAUACAUUUUAGCAAAGUUAUUUCAUUGUAACUCAUCUCAUUCUAAUUUGGCUUAUUUGUUUGCAAAACUUAACAUAUCCCCAUUGCUUUCAAGAGAUCUAAAAUUAGUAAAUAUCAUGUUCCAUUUUUCUCCUUAUUACUUUGAGUUUGUUAGUAUUGUUUGAGAUUGCAAGAUAGUUUGGUAAUAAAAAAUGAUGCUGCUUUUA